rnacentral:rRNA from 1 species
AUUGAACGCUGGCGGCAUGCUUUACACAUGCAAGUCGAACGGCAGCGCGGGCUUCGGCCUGGCGGCGAGUGGCGAACGGGUGAGUAAUGCAUCGGAACGUGCCCAGUAGUGGGGGAUAGCCCGGCGAAAGCCGGAUUAAUACCGCAUACGACCUGAGGGUGAAAGCGGGGGACCGAAAGGCCUCGCGCUAUUGGAGCGGCCGAUGUCGGAUUAGCUAGUUGGUGGGGUAAAGGCUUACCAAGGCGACGAUCCGUAGCUGGUCUGAGAGGACGACCAGCCACACUGGGACUGAGACACGGCCCAGACUCCUACGGGAGGCAGCAGUGGGGAAUUUUGGACAAUGGGGGCAACCCUGAUCCAGCCAUGCCGCGUGCGGGAAGAAGGCCUUCGGGUUGUAAAACGCUUUUGUUCGGGAAGAAAUCCUCUGGGCUAAUACCCCGGGGGGAUGACGGUACCGGAAGAAUAAGCACCGGCUAACUACGUG